AACGAACGCUGGCGGCGUGCCUAACACAUGCAAGUCGUGCGAGAAAGUUCCUUCGGGAGCGAGUAAAGCGGCGCACGGGUGAGUAACACGUAGGUAACCUGCCCCCCCAGUCUGGAACAACUAGAGGAAACUACUAGCUAAUGCCGGAUGAGACCACGAUCCCUUCGGGGGUUGGCGGCCAAAGAUGGCCUCUACUUGUAAGCUAUCGCUGAGGGAUGGGCCUGCGGGCCAUUAGCUUGUUGGUGAGGUAACGGCUCACCAAGGCUGUGAUGGCUAGC
rnacentral:rRNA from 1 species